CAGAGCUACCCUGGCAGGGCUGGAGGCAGUGAUGACACGGUUACGGUGCGUUACUCCUCCCAGUAUGAGGAGAGACUGGACCCCUUCGCCUCCUUCAGCAAGAGGGAACGCCAGCGCAGAUACCUGAGCCUCAGCCCCUGGGACAAGGUUACACUCAGCCUGG